AUUGAACGCUGGCGGCAUGCCUUACACAUGCAAGUCGAACGGCAGCACGGGUGCUUGCACCUGGUGGCGAGUGGCGAACGGGUGAGUAAUACAUCGGAACGUACCUUAUCGUGGGGGAUAACGCAGCGAAAGUUGCGCUAAUACCGCAUACGCCCUGAGGGGGAAAGCGGGGGACCGUAAGGCCUCGCGCGAUUAGAGCGGCCGAUGUCUGAUUAGCUUGUUGGUGAGGUAAAAGCUCACCAAGGCGAUGAUCAGUAGCUGGUCUGAGAGGACGAUCAGCCACACUGGGACUGAGACACGGCCCAGACUCCUACGGGAGGCAGCAGUGGGGAAUUUUGGACAAUGGGGGCAACCCUGAUCCAGCAAUGCCGCGUGAGUGAAGAAGGCCUUCGGGUUGUAAAGCUCUUUUGUCAGGGAAGAAACAGCAGCUCUAACACAG
rnacentral:rRNA from 1 species